GCUUACAGAUAGACUCUGCUGGGCAAGCCUGAUCUUUUCUGAACUCAGAGCCUAAGGGGCAUUGGAACUGGAUAGUACAUGGACCUGAGACUGCCUGGGAAUACUAAGGUCAGCUGUUAGCA
rnacentral:rRNA from 12 species